GCGGGUGUAGUUUAGUGGGAAAACUACAGCCUUCCAAGCUGUUGUCGCGAGUUCGAUUCUCGUCACCCGCU
rnacentral:tRNA from 1 species